rnacentral:rRNA from 1 species
UACAGAGGGGGCAAGCGUUGUUCGGAAUUACUGGGCGUAAAGGGCGCGUAGGCGGCCGCCUAAGUCAGACGUGAAAUCCCUCGGCUUAACCGGGGAACUGCGUCUGAUACUGGAUGGCUUGAGUUUGGGAGAGGGAUGCGGAAUUCCAGGUGUAGCGGUGAAAUGCGUAGAUAUCUGGAGGAACACCGGUGGCGAAGGCGGCAUCCUGGACCAACACUGACACUGAGGAGCGAAAGCCAGGGGAGCAAACGGG